AGUAGUAUAAUAAAUAAAAACUUAUAAAUAAUGGCGGUCUAAAUUAAUUAGAGGAACUCGCUUAUUAAUCGUAAACACCCGAUAAUUUUAACUCACAAUAUUAUAGCUUAUAUACCGCCGUUUCUGCUUAAAUACAAAAAUAAAACCUUAACCUAAAUCAGUAAUCAAAAAUCAGGUCAAGGUGUAGCUUAUAUGUGAGAUUAAGUAAGUUACAUUAAGAAAAACUUAAGAACUAUACCCUAAACUAAACCGAAAGAGAAUUUAUAUGUACACUUAAAUCAAUAUUUUAAAUAGAAAUACU
rnacentral:rRNA from 1 species